rnacentral:tRNA from 1 species
GUUGUAGUCUAGUUGGUUAGGAUAUUAGGUUAUAAUUUAGGAGAUCUAGGUUCAAAUUCUAGUAACA